UACGACGGUGGCUAGCGUUGUUCGGAAUCACUGGGCGUAAAGCGCACGCAGGCGGAUCGAUAAGUCGGGGGUGAAAGCCCGGGGCUCAACCUCGGAAUUGCCUUCGAUACUGUCGGUCUCGAGUCCGGGAGAGGUGAGUGGAAUUCCUAGUGUAGAGGUGAAAUUCGUAGAUAUUAGGAAGAACACAAGUGGCGAAGGCGGCUCACUGGCCCGGUACUGACGCUCAGGUGCGAAAGCGUGGGGAGCAAACAGG
rnacentral:rRNA from 1 species